rnacentral:lncRNA from 1 species
UGCUGGUCCAAUACUUGGAUAUAUGCUCCUUCAGAUUGCUUGUAGUUGCAUGAAGACGUUCGGCCUCUGUAGAACGUCCACACGAAGACUAGCGCAGAUCAGGCUCCUUGGAAGUGCUAGCUUGUGAGGAUCUUCAAGGUUGAUUUCUCCCUUCUUCAAGACUCUUGGAUGCUCCAAAGGUAGAGAAGAUCUGGAGGAGGAAG